rnacentral:rRNA from 1 species
CAAUAGCGUAUAUUAAAGUUGUUGCAGUUAAAAAGCUCGUAGUUGGAUUUCUGGUGGGAGCGACCGGUCCGACGCUUAGCGUGGGUACUUGCGUCGUCUCCGGCCAUCCUUGGGGAGAGUCUGUCUGGCAUUAAGUUGUCGGGCAGAGGAUCCUCAUCGUUUACUGUGAAAAAAUUAGAGUGUUCAAAGCAGGCUUAUGCCGUUGAAUAUAUUAGCAUGGAAUAAUAAGAUAGGACUUUGGUACUAUUUUGUUGGUUUGCGCACCAAAGUAAUGAUUAAUAGGGACAGUUGGGGGUAUUCGUAUUUCGUUGUCAGAGGUGAAAUUCUUGGAUUUACGAAAGACGAACUACUGCGAAAGCAUUUACCAAGGAUGUUUUCAUUAA